CUUUGUAGCCAGCUAGAAAAUGUGAUGCAUGACACAAUGAAGGAUCAAGAGCAGAGUUUCUUGGCUCUGGACUGGAGCUGGCUGCAGCUUCAGGUGGAAGAAACGAACAGCCCAGGACAGACAGAGAUGUAAAAUCACUUUGGCUGCUCUGAAGCUGCUUUGGGAAGCCAACUGUGAAAAGCUGCUGCCUCUGAGAAGGGAACAUCACCUCCCUCCUUCUCCUGUCACCAGGUGCUGCUGUGACACGGCCCAGCUUUCAGCAUCCACCUCUCAGACACUUUUUCACAAAGAUCCAGUAGGGAACGCCUGCUCUUAACUGCUUGGAAAAUGUUUUAAUUGUGCCUUAAGACAGCAGAUGCUCUGUCCUGAUAAAUCCUCCCUUAGGCAUCACCUGGGGCUGUUUUGCUGCAUUUUAGGUUUCCUAUGAACAAUGGACAUGGAUCCGCAGUCACUGGUAGAUGUCACCUUCCUAAUGAACUGUGAACUCAAUUUCUGAACUUUGCUGAUUUGCACUUUUUUUUUCUUUAAGUGUAAUGGUUGUACUUACCUAAUACUUGUUUCCUGUAUGGGAACGAAAUGAUCUGAACCAUGUAAACUUUUGGUUUGCUCUUUUUGAUGCGCUCAAUAACAAUUUAAUGGAAAAAGCUGCUUUCACUGUGCGGGUCUCUAAAACAUGAGAGGGGUAAAAAUGUUAUCUUAGAAACCAAAGGAGAAGGAAAUCUUCAGUGUACAGGGAUUUGCAGAUUAACUAUGCUUAAAUUUGCAUGGAAAGGAAAACAAAAGACCAAAAAACUCAGCUGGAUGGGAACUUGUGAGAGUCAACACACACCAACCUCGUGUUCUGACCGUGACCAAUUUAUUUCAUUCUGAUGUAACCCCAAAUUUCCACUACAGCACAGAGACCUCCUUUUAUAAAAGGCUGUGAAGUAUAGGACAUGCAAAAUGCAAUACAAUAGUGGGGAGAGGUUGGAUUUUCUUCUGUUUUUUUUUUUUUUUGAAACAGAUUUAAAA